GACAGAGGCCUCAAGCGUUAGGCGGAAUCACUGGGCUUAAAGCGUGUGUAGGCGGAUCGUUAAGUGUCUUGUGAAAUCCCACGGCUCAACCGUGGAACUGCCUCGGAUACUGGCGGUCUCGAGGGAGGUAGGGGCAUGCGGAACUGUGGGUGGAGCGGUGAAAUGCGUUGAUAUCCACAGGAACUCCGGUGGCGAAAGCGGCGUGCUGGACCUCUUCUGGACGCUGAGGCGCGAAAGCUAGGGGAGCAAACGGG
rnacentral:rRNA from 1 species